rnacentral:lncRNA from 9 species
AAGGGAUACUGAUAUUGUAGAAAGACACUUGAAGUCCCAGCUUCAUGACUCGGGCGGCCCUCAGCGCCCAUCUGCUGAUGUCAUGGACGAUGAGGUUGGGACCCCUGGUGUCAUGAAUGCCCGUGACCCUCACAGUGUCUUUAAAGUGGCGGCUGCUCCUCCCUGCGCGCCCACGCUUUAUGCAUGUGUGUGCGGUGUGCAUGGGCCGUGUGCAUGCUGUGUUUGUGCAUCGCGGCUCAUCUGACCGCUUCUGGGACCCGACCCCCUCUUCCACCAGGAGAGAAGGUCAUGGCAGAUGAUGAAUUCACCCAAGACCUGUUCCGAUUCCUGCAAUUGCUCUGCGAGGGCCACAAUAAUGGUGAGGAGGAGGGUCGGGUGAGGCAGAGAGGAAGCCAAGGUUCGAGGACUGUCUGGAAGGGUUGUCUGAGUUAAUCUCCAGUCCCCUCCUCCCUUAGCAGUAACUGCCUCACCAUACAACCAAACCUUGCUGUCCACCCCACUGUCCCUCAGUCUGUACUUUCAGCCAGUGUCAAGCCCCACCUACCCACCUUCCUAAAUCUCGAAUUUCUGGAAUCUAGCCACUUUGCUUCUGUUUCACCUCUUAUAGCCAGUCCAGUUCCCCCAGAGCAAUCUGCCAAAACCAGUCUGGCCCCAAAUCAAUUUUCUCAAAUGAGCAAUUUGCCACAUGCCAUUUUUUACACAGGCAUUUUGCAGCAGCUGCCAAAGUUCCAUAGAUGAGUAUUUCAUAUUCUGGGCCUGCAGAGGCAAAAAUUGCCUGGCAUUUAAAAAAUUAAUCUAUUAGAACCACGUAUUAAUUUUGCUCAUAAAAUUCUUUGCCAGGUGGAACGCUUACAGACUCUUCGCUCACUUAAACAAGUUAAGAGUUUUCAUAACUUUGGUUCUGAUUCAGGCAAUAUAAUCAGAUCAGGGAUGACACAGCCAGUUAAUUAAACACAUCGUAAUAGCUUAUGACAUUAAAGGAACAGUUAAAGCUCUGAACAGCAGGCUUCUACCCAAUGCAGUUUCCUCUAACAAACAUGCACAACCUUAAGGUUGUGGUUAUAACACUUAGCAGGUGAUAUGAAGCCACAGACUGCCCAGAAAUUAACCUUCAUGAGAAGAACAGGAGUAAUCAUAAAUCUAACCCCCAUAGAGGCUGCACCCCACUUGGCUAGUGUUCUUUAAGGUAAAUGGUAAACAUUUUUAAUCUUUACUUUUUUCUUUUCAACAAAGGAAAAACACGAUCCAUUGUUUUGCAUUAUCCUAAGCUCUUAUGUCCACAGCUCGUUUUUCUUUAAGGCUUAUUAAAUACCAUUGUGCUCUGUGACUAGGGUUUUCUUUCUUUAAUGGAAGUGAAAUCAGUCUUUGGGGUUUUAAAUGAAUUUUAUUCCCUGGGUAUAGGACUUUUUGGAAAUGAGAAUGUUCUGGAAUGUUCUGUGUUUUUGUUUUGGUUUGGUUUGGCUUUUGUCGCACCAGUGGCAUGUGGACAUUCCCGGGCCAGGGAUUAACCCUGGAACAGAGAGGUUCAAUAGCUUGCCUGAGGUCACACAUCUAGGAAUUUGUGCAGCCAGCUCCUUCUGCUCUUUCAGGCCAGCAGCUGCAGCUCUGAUUAGACCCCUAGCCCAGGAACUUCCACAUGCCGUGGGUGCGGCCCUAAAAAGCAAAAAUAAAAUAAAAUAAAAUAGUGACUUGCCUCCCUUACAAGGAUGAGGUUCUUGGCAUGACACGCAGCACUAGGCAUGGCAUCUGGGACGGGCCAUUGGCUUAGGCCACUGUUAUCUUUAGGACGACUCCCCCCCCAUCGGGGGGAGGUGAACGAAGAUGGGAUCAGCCAGGUUCACCCCUGCUGCUGAUGCAGAUCCGGAAGCCACUGUCCACCAACACAGGGGGUCCUGGCGCUGGGAGGCAGGCCCGUUGCAGCUCCGGAGAGCAGGCUCUGCUGAGCCACACUGACUUGGGGCUGCCCGCAGGGAACGUGGUGAACGGCAUGAUUGCCCGGCAGAUGGUGGACAUGCUUGUGGAGUCCUCGUCCAACGUGGAGAUGAUCCUCAAGUUCUUGACAUGUUCCUGAAACUCAAGGACAUCGUGGGCUCUGAGGCCUUCCAGGACUAUGUCACUGACCCCCGGGGUCUCAUCUCCAAGAAGGACUUCCAGAAGGUGGGUACGGGACAGGUGGGGGGUGCCAAGAGCCAGUCAUGCCCCUCCUGGCUGCCUGCAAGAGCCUUCUCAGGGAGCCUCAGUUUCCUUAUCUGUAAAAUGGAGAUAAAACCAGCCUGGGAGUUGUUUUGAAGAUGAAGUGCAUUAACACAAAUGAAAACCAUGAUUUCUAUUAUUAUUCAUAGUCAGGCUAUUAUUAUUACUAUAAAGAGAGAUCGGAGUUCCUGUCGCGGCACAGUGGUUAACGAAUCCGACUAGGAACUAUGAGGUUGCGGGUUCAAUCCCUGGCCUUGCUCAGUGGGUUAAGGAUCUGGCAUUGCCGUAAGCUGUGGUGUAGGUCGCAGACGAGGCUCGGAUCCCGAGUUGCUGUGGCUCUGGCGUAGGCUGGCGGCUACAGCUCCGAUUAGACCCCUAGCCUGGGAGCCUCCAUAUGCCGCGAGAGUGGCCCUAGAAAAGGCGAAAAGACAAAAAAAAGAGAAAAGAGAGAGAGAGAUCAGUCAUUGCCUCAAUAGACAUCUAUUGCAUUGUUCCUCUGUGCUGGGCCCUGCGCUGGUACCGUGGACACAGCAGUGACUGAGACAGACACAGGCCUGCCUCGGUGGGGCGUAUAAGACUAAUGGGAGAAGCCGUUAUUAAUGACCACUGCAUGCUUAAAUAAGGAGGCUGCUGGGGGAAAUGCAGGCACCAGCUCUAUGCAAGAGCCCACUCACCUGCCUCUGCUAAGCCUUCAACCCCAGGUAAGUCCCUGGUCUGCUCUGAGCCUCUUAGCAAGACGGGGCCAGGAUCGUCACCUUCACUAUGUCGCGGGACUGCUGUGACAGCAGCCCAUGCCUGGGACACAGGACGGACAAGAGAUGUGACCUACUCUUAUUACUUUUACUGCCAGGUCUUUUCCAUCCCCAUUUUACUACAUGUUUCUUUUGAACAUUUCGGUCUUAUGGAGAAGCUGCAAGAAUUGUACGUAAAAUUUCUGAGUAGCUUUUCACCCAGAUUUUGUCUGGACGUUAACGUCUUAGCACAUUUGCUCUGUCGUGAUUGUCCUUUACCUCUGCAGACAUCAGGCUGUAGCUCCUGAGAACAAUUCAUUCCCUCACAUAACCAGAAAACCAUUAUGCAGAUCAGGAAAUGAACAUUGACACAAUGCUGCUCCUACAGACUUUAUUCAGUUUUCACUUUUUCUUUCUUUCUUUUUUUUUUUUUGGUCUUUUGAGGGCAGCAUUUGGAAAUUCCCAGGUGAGGGGUCGAAUCAGAGCCAUAGCUGCCAGCCUACACCCCAGCCACAGCCACGCCAGACCCAAGCUGCGUCUGUGACCUGCACCACUGCUCACAGCAAUACUGGAUCCUCGACCCACUGAGUGGGGCCAGGGAUCGAACCCACACCCUCAUGGAUCCUAGUUGGGUUUGUUAACCACUGAGCCAUGACAGGACCUCCAGUUUUCACUCUUGAAGAAGAUCUAGUCUGAAGAGCUCCCUGGUGGCCUAGCAGUUAAAGUCGCUGCUGUGGCUCAGGUCCCUGCUAGGGUGCAGGUUCGAUCCCUGGCCCAUGAACUCCCGCAUGCGAGGUCCCGUCUGCGAACAGGGAUUGCAUUUAGGCAUCCCGUCUCUUUAGCCCCCUUGAACCUGGAACCCUUUCUUGAUCCGUCUCUUCGGACCUUGACACUUUUGAAGAAUAGAGGCAGUUGUUUUGUAGGCUGGCCCUCGGUGUGGGUAUGUCUGCGUGUUCUUCAUGAUUCCGGUUGCACACCUUUGGCAGGAACAUCAGAGAAGUGAUGUGUCCUCAGUGCCUCGAGCUGGGAGGCACACGAUGUGGGCUCUUCCCAUUAUAGUUGGUGUUCGCUUGGCUCACUUGGUGAAGGUGGCGUUUACCGGCGUCUCCACUGUGAUGAUACCGUCAUUCCCUUUGGUAUCUUGUGAGGAUGCGUUUUGAGACCAGGUGAAUAUUCUGUGCAGCCGUUCGGGGUAGCAUCCAUCCGUGAUUCUUGUCGGAAAUGAUGAUGGCUGUGGCAGGUGACGCAGGGCGGCUCUCUAACUUCCCUGGACCCCUUACCCUGAUCAGGUACCACUCUGCUGGAGGAAGAGUUUUUCCCUUCUCCUCCAUUUAUGUGUUUGUCUGUGUAUUUAUUCAUCUAUUCAGUUAGACUCAAAAUAGAUGGACUCAUGGCUUCUUAUUUUAUUCUGGAGCUUGCAAUCGCUGCUGUCCAUCAGCGUUUAAAUAAGCCCAGGGUCUCCUGAGUUAAACAUAAAGAGCCCUGAGCCUCCCAGUUGUCCCCUGAGAGCGUCCCUGCCUCUCUCUCCCCUGCCCCUUCUCAGCCACGCCUCUACCCACACUCACUCCUUUCUCACCUCCCACUCCUUCCCUGACUCGGGGCUUGCUGCCUUCGGUCCCUGCCCCUCUCCCGAAACUACCCCACCUCAGAUCACCAGUGAUCCCUCACCCCUGAAUCUCUCCUCUGACUUGUCGUCUUGGAAGCGUUUGCCGCCCUGGCCACUUCCUUGCCGCAGCCACGCCUGCGUCCCUGGGCGUCUGAGCCACACCCUCCUGGGACCCCCCCCACCUCCGCCCCCCCCCCCCCCGCCCCCGUGUUCCCUGCUCAGCCCUCCCAGCCUCUUAAACAUGCCCGGCCGUGAGCCCUCCACCUUCAGGAAGAAGAAGCUAAUAUGUAUCAUGUUCCCACUCUGUGCCAGGUCCUGUGUGUGAAUGAAUAUUAAUGUAAUCUUUACAACAAGCCUUAUGUAGUGAGGCCUAUUUUCUCUUCCCCAUUGUACAAAAGUGGUAACUGAGGCACAGGGAGGUUAAAGUAACGUGCUUAAGGUCACACGACUAGCAACUAACACAUCUGGGGUUUGACCAGAGUGUACUGCCUCCAGAUUCGCCCAUUAAUCUAGCCUAGUAAAUAGUCAGUGAGCACUUCCUGGGUGCCAGGCCCUAUCUGGGGAGUCCCAACCCUACUCUCAAGACAAGCAUGUUACUUUCUUUUUUUUUUUUCCUUUUAGGGCCUAACUCAUGGCAUGUGGUAGUUCCCAGGCCAGGGGUUGAAUUGGAGCUAUAGCUGCUGGCCUACACUACAACCAUGCUAGAUCCAAGCCAUGUCUGCAACCUACACUGCAGCUCAAGGCCACACCAGAUCCUUAACCCACUGAGAGGGGCCAGGGAUUGAACCCGUGUCCUCAUGGAUACUAUUAUACCAACAGGUAUAAGAAAAGUGCUUAGGAGUUCCUGCUGUAGCCAGUAGGUUAAGGAUCCAGCAUUGCUGCAGCUGCGGCUAGGCUGCAGCUGUGGCUGAGAUUAAGUCCCUGGCCUGGAA